rnacentral:rRNA from 1 species
UACGUAGGGGGCAAGCGUUGCUCGGAAUGACUGGGCGUAAAGGGCGCGUAGGCGGCUUGCACCGUCAGAUGUGAAAUUCCUGGGCUUAACCUGGGGGCUGCAUUUGAUACGUGUGGGCUUGAGUGCGGAAGAGGGUCGUGGAAUUCCCAGUGUAGAGGUGAAAUUCGUAGAUAUUGGGAAGAACACCGGUGGCGAAGGCGGCGACCUGGUCCGUGACUGACGCUGAGGCGCGAAAGCGUGGGGAGCAAACAGG